UUAUCAAUCAAGUUGAACAAGAUGAAAUCAAUGGCAAUUGUAUCUCUGUUACUGGUUGUAUUUGCAGUCCUACAGUGUGCGCCUGUAUCUGACGCAUUUGGUGGAUCUUUCGUCCCUCGUGUUGGAGGAGCUGUUGUUUCAGGCGAUGUUUACGAUUUAGAGAAACUUGCCGAACAUUGUGGCAUUCGAAAUGUGCAAACCGUGAAUCACGGCCGGCAAUGAAAUUAGAAACCCAGCAAACGAGGAUGAAGUUACUAAGAUUCAGCAUUUCAGGGAACGAGAAAGCAAUGGAGACACUAAUUUAUGGAUAAUACUAGUUUAGCUAUUGGGAAAUAAUAUCAUUAAUAAAUAAAAUGUGAAUAUAUAAUAAA